UUUUGUAGAAGAUCUCAUUUCAAUUCUUUAUACCCUCUGGUAUUUUCCUUUUGCAAACACAUGAUUCUUUUACCUUCACGAAAUCCUGCGGGAAUACCCCGAUCUCCGGUUAUAUGCCAAAACUUGUUAGUGGAGGCAAGAAUGAAAAAAAAUGAAAAAAAAGAGGCGAAAAGAAUAAAAAAUAAAAGAAUGAGAAAGACAA
rnacentral:lncRNA from 1 species